rnacentral:rRNA from 1 species
UUGCCAGCCGCCCGGUAAUACGUGAGGGGCGAACGUUGUUCGGUGUCACUGGGCUUAAAGAGCGCGUAGGUGGCUAAGCAAGUAAGGUGUGAAAGCCCCCGGCUUACCCGGGGAAUUGCGCCUUAAACUGCUUGGCUUGAGGGUCAGAGGGGUUGGAGGAACUCUAGGUGUAGCGGUGAAAUGCUUANAUAUCUAGAGGAAGGCCGGAGGCGAAGGCGUCCAACUGGCUGAUACCUGACACUGAGGCGCGAAAGCGUGGGGAGCAAACAGGAUUAGAUACCCUGGUAGUCCACGCCCUAAACGAUGAUCACUAGGUGGGUGCUUUCUAUUGGUGCCCGCCGGAGACAAUUUGGUAAGUGAUCCGCCUGGGGAGUAUGGUCGCAAGACUGAAACUCAUAGGAAUUGGCGG